AUACGGAGGGUGCGAGCGUUAAUCGGAAUUACUGGGCGUAAAGCGCGCGUAGGCGGUUUGGUCAGUCGGAUGUGAAAGCCCUGGGCUCAACCUGGGAACUGCAUUCGAUACUGCCUGACUAGAGUAUGGGAGAGGGAAGUGGAAUUUCCGGUGUAGCGGUGAAAUGCGUAGAUAUCGGAAGGAACACCAGUGGCGAAGGCGACUUCCUGGCCCAAUACUGACGCUGAGGUGCGAAAGCGUGGGUAGCGAACAGGAUUAGAUACCCCAGUAGUCC
rnacentral:rRNA from 1 species